rnacentral:lncRNA from 1 species
UGUAAAGUGGAAAUCCGCACCGUAAGAAUAAAUGCGGACAUCCGCACCUGAGAAAAUCUAUAUAUAUAUAUAUAUCAAAGAUAAUCUUUCAUGUUUAGCUUGGAAUCCCUUGGAUGGCAAGUGACAUAUUAAUUUAUUGGGUAGUGCUAGAAGGCCUAGGAUUUAUGGCCUUAAUCCUUGGUGGCAUGUCAAAUCACCUAUCCACAUCAUUAAAUAAAAAAAUCAUGCUAUGUCAUUUUUGGGUAAAAAUACAAUCUUAUCAUUUCAUAUCCAAUGACUCUAGAUUAUUUUGUUUUUAUUUUAUAAAAAGAUGUUUUUAAAGCCAUUUUUUUCAUUACUUGUGCUUAAAUUUAAAUAUGAAAUAUAUAUAUAUAUAUACACACAUUAAUUUUUCCAA